ACAGGUGCUGCAUGGCUGUCGUCAGCUCGUGUCGUGAGAUGUUGGGUUAAGUCCCGCAACGAGCGCAAUCCUUGUCACUAGUUGCUACGGUAACGGGCACUCUAGUGAGACUGCCGGUGACAAACCGGAGGAAGGUGGGGAUGACGUCAAGUCAUCAUGCCCCUUAUGUCCAGGGCUUCACGCAUGCUACAAUGGCCGGUACAAAGGGCUGCGAAACCGCAAGGUGGAGCGAAUCCCAAAAAGCCGGUCUCAGUUCGGAUUGGGGUCUGCAACUCGACCCCAUGAAGUCGGAGUCGCUAGUAAUCGCAGAUCAGCAACGCUGCGGUGAAUACGUUCCCGGGCCUUGUACACACCGCCCGUCACGUCACGAAAGUCGGCAACACCCGAAGCCGGUGGCCCAACCCUUGUGGAGGGAGCCGUCGAAGGUGGGGCUGGCGAUUGGGACG
rnacentral:rRNA from 1 species